GACGAACACUGGCGGCGUGCUUAACACAUGCAAGUCUAACGGAAAGGCCCUGCUUUUGUGGGGUGCUCGAGUGGCGAACGGGUGAGUAACACGUGAGUAACCUGCCCUUGACUUUGGGAUAACUUCAGGAAACUGGGGCCAAUACCGGAUAGGAGCUCCUGCUGCAUGGUGGGGGUUGGAAAGUUUCGGCGGUUGGGGAUGGACUCGCGGCUUAUCAGCUUGUUGGUGGGGUAGUGGCUUACCAAGGCUUUGACGGGUAGCCGGCCUGAGAGGGUGACCGGCCACAUUGGGACUGAGAUACGGCCCAGACUCCUACGGGAGGCAGCAGUGGGGAAUAUUGCACAAUGGGCGGAAGCCUGAUGCAGCAACGCCGCGUGCGGGAUGACGGCCUUCGGGUUGUAAACCGCUUUCGCCUGUGACGAAGCGUGAGUGACGGUAAUGGGUAAAGAAGCACCGGCUAACUACGUGCCAGCAGCCGCGGUGAUACGUAGGGUGCGAGCGUUGUCCGGAUUUAUUGGGCGUAAAGGGCUCGUAGGUGGUUGAUCGCGUCGGAAGUGUAAUCUUGGGGCUUAACCCUGAGCGUGCUUUCGAUACGGGUUGACUUGAGGAAGGUAGGGGAGAAUGGAAUUCCUGGUGGAGCGGUGGAGUGCGCAGAUAUCAGGAGGAACACCAGUGGCGAAGGCGGUUCUCUGGGCCUUUCCUGACGCUGAGGAGCGAAAGCGUGGGGAGCGAACAGGCUUAGAUACCCUGGUAGUCCACGCUGUAAACGGUGGGUACUAGGUGUGGGGUCCAUUCCACGGGUUCCGUGCCGUAGCUAACGCUUUAAGUACCCCGCCUGGGGAGUACGGCCGCAAGGCUAAAACUCAAAGGAAUUGACGGGGCCCCGCACAAGCGGCGGAGCAUGCGGAUUAAUUCGAUGCAACGCGUAGAACCUUACCUGGGUUUGACAUGGAUCGGGAGUGCUCAGAGAUGGGUGUGCCUCUUUUGGGGUCGGUUCACAGGUGGUGCAUGGCUGUCGUCAGCUCGUGUCGUGAGAUGUUGGGUUAAGUCCCGCAACGAGCGCAACCCUUGUUCACUGUUGCCAGCACGUUAUGGUGGGGACUCAGUGGAGACCGCCGGGGUCAACUCGGAGGAAGGUGGGGAUGACGUCAAGUCAUCAUGCCCCUUAUGUCCAGGGCUUCACGCAUGCUACAAUGGCUGGUACAGAGAGUGGCGAGCCUGUGAGGGUGAGCGAAUCUCGGAAAGCCGGUCUCAGUUCGGAUUGGGGUCUGCAACUCGACCUCAUGAAGUCGGAGUCGCUAGUAAUCGCAGAUCAGCAACGCUGCGGUGAAUACGUUCCCGGG
rnacentral:rRNA from 1 species